UACAGAGGUCCCGAGCGUUGUUCGGAUUUAUUGGGCGUAAAGGGUGCGUAGGCGGCGGAGUAAGUUGGGUGUGAAAUCCCGAGGCUCAACCUCGGAAUGGCAUUCAAUACUGCUUCGCUUGAGUACUGGAGAGGAGGCUGGAAUUUACGGUGUAGCAGUGAAAUGCGUAGAUAUCGUAAGGAAGGCCGGUGGCGAAAGCGAGCCUCUGGACAGUUACUGACGCUGAUGCACGAAGGCCAGGGGAGCAAACGGG
rnacentral:rRNA from 1 species